GUUCAGAAGACACAGGAGAAAGGAGGACUUAUGGGGGCGCAGUAUAAAAGAUGUGGAGGCAGCAAUUUCCAGAUCAUUGUGGAAGGACAAAGAGAUUGAGAAGAAUGACAGUGCUUUAUGCCCACUAUCAAAGCCUGCGAGACAAGAAAGGAAGACAUGGAAAAGCGAAGUUUGGCAGCAGCUGAUCAAGAAGGCAGUAUUCAGGAAGAAAACAGGUCCGAAAAGGGAGAAAAGUAAAGCAGACAUUGAAAGGCAUUCUCCACAGGGGUGUGAUCAGCAAUAUCAAGCAUGGCUAUUCAUUGCCACGAUGGUGGGAAGAUGAUGCUCAAAAGCAAAUUGAGGGUGUCUGUGGGGUUCCAGAAAUGGGAUUGUAAUGCCCUUGUGUUUUUUGCCUGUACCAGAGGACAUGUUUCUAGAAGACAUGGUGACUGAAAAUCCCUGCUACAAGAGCAAUGCCCAGCCGAAGCCUGAGAAGUAUUGAAAGAAUGCUGCUGCUUUAAUACCUCCAUGCAAAGGGCACUGAUGACCAGCCAAAGAGUAACAAGGGUGACUUUUUUUCUACUCUCAUCUUUCAUGACCUGUAUUUUUAUAAACGUUUAUUCCACCGUAUUAAUAAAUGCUCAGUGAAAUAUC